rnacentral:rRNA from 1 species
UACGUAGGGUGCAAGCGUUAAUCGGAAUUACUGGGCGUAAAGCGUGCGCAGGCGGUUCUAUAAGACCGAUGUGAAAUCCCCGGGCUCAACCUGGGAACUGCAUUUGUGACUGUAGAGCUGGAGUACGGCAGAGGGGGAUGGAAUUCCGCGUGUAGCAGUGAAAUGCGUAGAUAUGCGGAGGAACACCGAUGGCGAAGGCAAUCCCCUGGGCCUGUACUGACGCUCAUGCACGAAAGCGUGGGGAGCAAACAGG